rfam:Gossypium hirsutum cultivar TM-1 chromosome 20, whole genome shotgun sequence
AACCCAUGAUAAGGACACAUUCUCAAAAGUUCCUUAAAUCUCUCCCAUGCAUCAUAUAAUGUCUCAAACUCAAUUUGAGAAAAAGAAGAGAUUUCAUUCCUCAACUU